rnacentral:rRNA from 1 species
AGCGAACGCUGGCGGCAGGCCUAACACAUGCAAGUCGAACGGAUCCUUCGGGAUUAGUGGUGGACGGGUGAGUAACGCGUGGGAACGUGCCCUUUGGUUCGGAACAACUCAGGGAAACUUGAGCUAAUACCGGAUGUGCCCUUCGGGGGAAAGAUUUAUCGCCAUUGGAGCGGCCCGCGUCUGAUUAGCUAGUUGGUGAGGUAACGGCCCACCAAGGCGACGAUCAGUAGCUGGUCUGAGAGGAUGAUCAGCCACACUGGGACUGAGACACGGCCCAGACUCCUACGGGAGGCAGCAGUGGGGAAUCUUGCGCAAUGGGCGAAAGCCUGACGCAGCCAUGCCGCGUGAAUGAUGAAGGUCUUAGGAUUGUAAAAUUCUUUCAGCGGGGACGAUAAUGACGGUACCCGCAGAAGAAGCUCCGGCUAACUUCGUG